AUUGAACGCUGGCGGCAUGCUUUACACAUGCAAGUCGAACGGUAACAGGCCGCAAGGUGCUGACGAGUGGCGCACGGGGGAGUAAUGCAUCGGAACGUGCCCAGGCGUGGGGGAUAACUACUCGAAAGAGUAGCUAAAACCGCAUACGAGCUAUGGAUGAAAGCGGGGGACCGUAAGGCCUCGCGCGAUUGGAGCGGACGAUGUCAGAUUAGGUAGUUGGUGGGGUAAAGGCGCACCAAGCCAACGAUCUGUAGCUGGUCUGAGAGGACGAGCAGCCACACUGGGACUGAGACACGGCCCAGACUCCUACGGGAGGCAGCAGUGGGGAAUUUUGGACAAUGGGCGCAAGCCUGAUCCAGCAAUGCCGCGUGCAGGAAGAAGGCCUUCGGGUUGUAAACUGCUUUUGUACGGAACGAAACGGCUCUGGUUAAUACCCGGGGCUAAUGACGGUACCGUAAGAAUAAGCACCGGCUAACUACGUG
rnacentral:rRNA from 1 species